AUUAGACGAAUCAUCUGGAAAGAUGAAUCAAAGAAGGUAAUAAUCCUGUAGUCGAAAAUGUUGUCUCUCUUGAGUGGAUCCUGAGUACGACGGAGCACGUGAAAUUCCGUCGGAAUCUGGGAGGACCAUCUCCUAAGGCUAAAUACUCUCUAGUGACCGAUAGUGAACCAGUACCGUGAGGGAAAGGUGAAAAGCACCCCGGAAGGGGAGUGAAAUAGAACCUGAAACCGUGUGCUUACAAGUAGUCAGAGCCCGUUAAUGGGUGAUGGCGUGCCUUUUGUAGAAUGAACCGGCGAGUUACGAUUUGAUGCAAGGUUAAGCAGUAAAUGUGGAGCCGUAGCGAAAGCGAGUCUGAAUAGGGCGUUUAGUAUUUGGUCGUAGACCCGAAACCAGGUGAUCUACCCUUGGUCAGGUUGAAGUUCAGGUAACACUGAAUGGAGGACCGAACCGACUUACGUUGAAAAGUGAGCGGAUGAACUGAGGGUAGCGGAGAAAUUCCAAUCGAACCUGGAGAUAGCUGGUUCUCUCCGAAAUAGCUUUAGGGCUAGCCUCAAGUGAUGAUUAUUGGAGGUAGAGCACUGUUUGGACGAGGGGCCCCUCUCGGGUUACCGAAUUCAGACAAACUCCGAAUGCCAAUUAAUUUAACUUGGGAGUCAGAACAUGGGUGAUAAGGUCCGUGUUCGAAAGGGAAACAGCCCAGACCACCAGCUAAGGUCCCAAAAUAUAUGUUAAGUGGAAAAGGAUGUGGCGUUGCCCAGACAACUAGGAUGUUGGCUUAGAAGCAGCCAUCAUUUAAAGAGUGCGUAAUAGCUCACUAGUCGAGUGACACUGCGCCGAAAAUGUACCGGGGCUAAACAUAUUACCGAAGCUGUGGAUUGUCCUUUGGACAAUGGUAGGAGAGCGUUCUAAGGGCGUUGAAGCAUGAUCGUAAGGACAUGUGGAGCGCUUAGAAGUGAGAAUGCCGGUGUGAGUAGCGAAAGACGGGUGAGAAUCCCGUCCGCCGAUUGACUAAGGUUUCCAGAGGAAGGCUCGUCCGCUCUGGGUUAGUCG
rnacentral:rRNA from 1 species